rnacentral:snRNA from 1 species
CUACCUGGUUUCUCUUCAGAUCGUAUAAAUCUUUCACCUUUUACUAAAGAUUUCCAUGGAGAGGAACAUUUAUGAGUUUCUACCCAAUUUUUUAGAGCAGACUGUC